rnacentral:rRNA from 1 species
CACGUAGGGGCGAGCGUUGUCCGGAAUCAUUGGGCGUAAAGAGCUCGUAGGCGGCUCAGUAAGUCGGGUGUGAACCCCCAGGCUCAACCUGGGGACGCCACUCGAUACUGCUGUGGCUAGAGUCAGUAGAGGAGUGUGGAAUUCCGGUGUAGCGGUGAAAUGCGCAGAUAUCGGGAGGAACAUCAGUGGCGAAAGCGACUCCUGGACCAUACUGACGCUCAUGUGCGAAAGCGUGGGAGCAACA